rnacentral:rRNA from 1 species
AUUGAACGCUGGCGGCAUGCCUUACACUUGCAAGUCGAACGGCAGCAUGAUCUAGCUUGCUAGAUUGAUGGCGAGUGGCGCACGGGUGAGUAAUACAUCGGAACGUGCCCUGUAGUGGGGGAUAACUAGUCGAAAGAUUAGCUAAUACCGCAUACGACCUGAGGGUGAAAGUGGGGGACCGCAAGGCCUCAUGCUAUAGGAGCGGCCGAUGUCUGAUUAGCUAGUUGGUGAGGUAAAGGCUCACCAAGGCGACGAUCAGUAGCUGGUCUGAGAGGACGAUCAGCCACACUGGGACUGAGACACGGCCCAGACUCCUACGGGAGGCAGCAGUGGGGAAUUUUGGACAAUGGGCGAAAGCCUGAUCCAGCAAUGCCGCGUGUGUGAAGAAGGCCUUCGGGUUGUAAAGCACUUUUGUCCGGAAAGAAAUGGCUCUGGUUAAUACCUGGGGUCGAUGACGGUACCGGAAGAAUAAGGACCGGCUAACUACGUG